AAGCUGUAUAUUCUACUGCAUAUCCGCAUAUCCUAUAUAUCCUGUAUUGUAUAUGUAAGUAAUGUGCAAUACAAAUUUAACUAGCAAUGUUGAAAUUGAAUUAUAUUUGGUAACUGGCUGUCGAAAAAGUGCGACGGGAUCGGGUGUGCGGGGAAUUUGUCGGCAAAAGUCAAAAUCCUACAUCGGCCCGUGUGGUUAAAAUAUUUAUUCGAUCGGUACAUUGAAUUCGCUGCGAUUACCUAUAUUAUAUACAUUUAAAAUCGCCGGGAGAAAAUAUUCGUUCUUCGAAACCUGUCGAUCGGGCCCCGGCAAUAGAUUAUCGACGCUAAAAACACAUAAAGGUGUCUGCUGCGGUACACCGGCCGCAACGUAACACUGCAAAAAGCCGUUGCACUCGUCGAAAACCUGUUUUUUUUUUUUUUUUAUCCACACACAAUAUCUUCAUAGUUCGCUAAAAUUCCACUCAAAUCGAUUUCGUUUAUGUAUACGCUCACGUAUAUUUUAGACGAUCGCCCGCCAUCCGGAUCCGCGUCGCCAUUUUCUAAAGGCGCUGUUGUAACGGUUUUGCGUAUCGUACUUACUUAAUAAUGUUUGUGCAAACUUUGUUGGUACACUUUACGAGUUGGCAUCGAAAUCAUUGUUAUCCAGAAUGCUGCAGUCGGCUAAACGUUGGAUUUCGAACAUUGACUGUAUUGUAUGGUAUUAU